GCCAGCUCGGGGAAAGGGGGGGGGGGGCUGCUGCGGUCGCGAUUCAAUGCCGCCAACUCAAUGGAUUCGCGAAAGAGUCU
rnacentral:ribozyme from 1 species